rnacentral:tRNA from 1 species
GUUGUGGCUCAGAGGUAGAGCACUUGCCUAGCAUAUGAGAGGCACUGGGUUCGAUUUUCAGCACCACA